rnacentral:rRNA from 1 species
UACGUAGGGUGCGAGCGUUGUCCGGAAUUACUGGGCGUAAAGAGCUCGUAGGUGGUUUGUCGCGUUGUUCGUGAAAACUCACAGCUUAACUGUGGGCGUGCGGGCGAUACGGGCAGACUGGAGUACUGCAGGGGAGACUGGAAUUCCUGGUGUAGCGGUGGAAUGCGCAGAUAUCGGGAGGAACACCGGUGGCGAAGGCGGGUCUCUGGGCCGACACUGACGCUGAGGAGCGAAAGCGUGGGGAGCGAACAGG